CGUACCUACUACAUGGAUAACUGUAGUAAUUCUAGAGCUAAUACAUGCCACUAUGCCCUGACCCGCAAGGGGAUGGGUGGAUUUAUUAGAACAGAACCAACCGGUUGUGGUUUCGGCCACUUCCGUGACAUUCUGUGAUGACUCUGGAUAACUUCACUGAUCGCAGUCGGCCUUGUGUCGGCGACGGAUCUUUCAAAUGUCUGCCCUAUCAAUUUACGAUGGUAGGUGAUCUGCCUACCAUGGUGAUAACGGGUAACGGGGAAUCAGGGUUCGAUUCCGGAGAGGGAGCCUGAGAAACGGCUACCACUUCCAAGGAAGGCAGCAGGCGCGCAAAUUACCCAAUCCCGGCACGGGGAGGUAGUGACGAAAAAUACGGAUACGGGACUCAACAGAGGCUCCGUAAUUCGAAUGAGUACAAUUUAAAUCCUUUAACGAGGAUCAACUGGAGGGCAAGUCUGGUGCCAGCAGCCGCGGUAAUUCCAGCUCCAGAAGCGUAUAUUAAAGUUGUUGCAGUUAAAAAGCUCGUAGUUGGAUCUGGGUCGCAUGGCUACGUGCCGUCACUUAUAUUCCUGGUCUGGUUACGGUCGGGCUGGGUUUGUGAGUCGGUUUCGUGGCUGUGUAGCCUUUCUGCCGUGUCUGUUUCGACAGGUGCUGACGGUUUAUCUGUUGGCAUGCUUCCAAAUGCCCUUAACC
rnacentral:rRNA from 1 species